UUAACAAUCAACGUUACUCUUCGCGUUUGGUGAACGCAUACGUAUUAAUUUUUUUUCGAUAAUGUUAGAUGCGCGAACGAAAUAGGUUUUCGAAGAUCGAGUUACUUCACUAACGUGAGUAUAAUGUCCUUUUAAUGAAUCACGCAGAGUACAGCAGCGAUGUGUCCAUAAGUAAUCAUUAUUUAUACGAACGCCCUUAUCUCAAACACGUUGUUUUUCAUAAAUGAUUUACAAUCAGAAGCGGACUCUGAGAAAAAUGACCCACGACAUUAUAGAAUAACCGACACGGAUGAACAAACAAUUGAAGUGCGAGACUGUACUCAUAAUAUCUACGGUUACCUUUGGAAUCUAUUCAUUUUUUUUUUCAGAAAAAUUUUGUAUUGUUAUUUUGUCAAUGUAUCAUUCUACGGUAUAAUAGAAGUCUUAAUUGUUGCGAGUUCUCUCAAAAAUCCACCAGCAACGAGAGACGAUGUGUGAAUGAGCUGCGUGGCGUCCAUGAUCAUCUGCGCAACAGGAUAGCAGUUCGUGAUCGACUGAUGACAACACAUAAAUCGGGAGAUUAGGUUAAACCUAUGACACCGAAAUACAUAUUAAAUACGUUUUUCGUUGGACGGGAAGGUAUGCUCGAAUAUAGAUUUCCACCUUCCCCUCGGAAGUUGAAAAAGACGAUUUUCUCUUAUAAACUGUUACACAGUAAAUAGUAAUUAUUUCUGAUAACCUUUCAGCUGUAUAAAAUUCCAAAUGUCUAAUAUAAUAAAAACAUUUAUAGCUAUAAUUUGGAAUCAAAAAACCAUUAGACUUUUUGAUUGAGUAGUGUACAUCAAUAUAAUGUUAAAUUUUUAUUCAGAUCAUUUUUUCCACAUAGGAUUUGAACGAUAAAAUAUUACGAUUAUCGAAAAUUAAAUCCAUAAACAAUUUCCAUACAUUAUAUAAAUCAUAGAAGAUGUUCUUGUAACCAGAAAUUAUAGACUAGCUGUCAUAAUUGUUGUUAAGGAAUUGAAAAAAUUAAAUUCAUGUAAUUAAUGUAAAUAAUGUAAA